rnacentral:lncRNA from 1 species
CUGAUUUCCACAAGUGGGCAGAAAAACAGACGCCGUGAUACUUCCUGUGAGGCUCAGUGGUUCGUCCUCUGCCCACUCUGCAGCCCCAUGUGCAGCCCGCAUUGUGGCAGGCGGGAAUGGGGGUAGGGCGGAGGGGCUCUGGGUGAGUCAGCCGGAGGAGAGGGAGAGUGUCGUUUUGAGGGAGGCAGAUUAGGACGAUGGACUAGCAGUCAUGCUCCGCGGCUAGUUAGCUUUGUGACCUUGGGCCGAUGGAGUCACUCUGGCCCUUCGUUCCUCUCCAGGUAAGAGGAGGGGAGCUGAGUAGCUUCCUUCCAACACCAACAUUCUGAGUCUAUGCACCCCUCCCGGAGACCACAUCCUCUGAAAAGACAGAAGAAACGCCGCAGGUCCUGAUGGCCCUCAACUGACUCACAUGCUCCUGGGCAGAACACCACGCCCCCCAAAGCCUUCCUCCACCAGUACAGCCCCACCGACUCAGGACUGAACCCAGGCUGCGCUGGGGUCGGGGAGCCGAGCUCCCCCGUGCAGGCUGGGGCUCUGCGCUUGGCGGUCGUCAUUGCUGUCCUGGGCAGUUUUGCCUCAUCUCUGAGAGCCCUUCACGGUGUUUACUCAGCCUCUUUUCCCAGCACCCGUUUGAAAUGUGCUGGCUCAUUUCUUCCUUUCCUUUGAGAAGUUCAGUUCCCCUUUGGCUUUAACUCAGAGCUUUGGUGAUGAAAGAAAGGAGAUCAUAUUUCCUCUAGUCAGAGCUAUAUUUUCAGGGCACAGCUGCCUAGACCCACCAGAAAUAAAACAGGAGGAGAUACGAGGUCAUGGGCAAAUCCCACCCAGCUCCCUCCUGGUGGGAGAAGAGCCCAGUGAGAACUUAGUCUCUGGAAGCUGGAGUCCAGACAGGCUUGUGGGAGGCGGCAGCCAUCUCCUAUGCAGCAUCGUGAUUGCCCUCAGAACUCUCGUGAAGCCCACGAUCAUCAACAAGGGACCAAGAAGUUCAUCCAGCACCAGGCAGACCGAUACGUCAACAUUAAGUGUAACUGGCGGGGACCUGGAGGCUUGACCACAAGGUCCAGAGCA